AUGAUCGGGAUAACAGUUGGAAACGGCUGCUAAUACCGGAUACGCUCAAAAUGAACUUUUUGAGGAAAGAUGGCCUCUGCUUGCAUGCUAUCACGUAAGGAUGAGUCCGCGUCCCAUUAGCUUGUGGCGGGUAACGGCCCACCAAGGCAACGAUGGGUAGCCGAUUUGAGAGGAUGAUCGGCCACACUGGAACUGAAACACGGUCCAGACUCCUACGGGAGGCAGCAGUGGGGAAUAUUGCGCAAUGGGCGAAAGCCUGACGCAGCGACGCCGCCGUGAGGGAUGAAGGUUUCGGAUCGUAAACCCCUGUACAAAAGGGAAGAAACUACGUUGUGCUAAUCAGCAGCGUACUGACGGUACCUUACAAAAGGAAGCACCGGCUAACUCCGUGCCAGCCGCAGC
rnacentral:rRNA from 1 species